rnacentral:rRNA from 1 species
UGCGCAGGUGGGCUUGUAAGUCAGUGGUGAAAUACUGCCGCUUAACGGUAGAACUGCCAUUGAUACUGCAAGUCUUGAGUAUGGUUGAGGUGGCGGAAUGUGUUGUGUAGCGGUGAAAUGCAUAGAUAUGACACAGAACUCCAAUUGCGAAGGCAGCUUACUAAGCCAUUACUGACGCUGAGGCACGAAAGCGUGGGGAGCGAACAGGAUUAGAUACCCUGGUAGUCC